AAUCUCUCCAAUUGGACUUUUGCCUGGGUUUUAAACGGCACUUUGCUUUUGAUUGUUCUAGUUUCCUGUGCUCGGGGCUCCUGAGACGCGGCCCCGCCGGGCACCGUGAAGACGGUCUUUGCCCUUGGCCCGCUCUCGGCUCCGCCGGCCACGGGCGAGGCAGGGCUGUCUGCCCUCCGGGCCCACGCCGCGCCGCGCCCGCGAUGCUUGAUGUCAAUGGGACUCGGAGCCAGUAAAGCAAGCCCAGGGCCAGCUGGGCCGGCAGGGACUUGACUCGUUGCAGAGCCGGGAGCGGGCGUGACGGGGCAGGAAAGCAGGACGGAGCGUUUCCAGCCGCGGGCGCCGAGGACGUGUCGGCAGCUGCAGCCGGCGGAGCGUGCAGACGAGGAGGGACGUCCUGCCUCGCGGCGCCGGGGGAGUCUCCGUCCCCGGGAACGGUCGGGAGCAGACCCGUGGCUGGGGGCAUGGUUUAGAUCCUGCCCUGAGCAGGGGCCUGCACUAGCUGUGGUCUCGGGAGGUCCCUUCCCAACGACCCUAUACCCUAAAUGCGUCGGUCACUGGCUUUGCUCCUCGGGAACAUAAAACUUACAGCAGAAAGGGAUUUUCCGUUCCCUAGACGCCCCGUAGCCUAGCCGGUCGAUUUUGCUUUGGUACGAGAGUGCCGACUUUGCACGGACCUCGUGGUGUCAGUACGACCCCCAGGGAGGGCGCGACUCUCCCGGGAUCCAGCCGCCUUCCUAUCCGCCCGGGCGAUGCCCCGCACCUUCCUACCGGGAGACGCGCGGCCGAGCGAUGGGGGCAGGGGACGACUGCUUUGGCACUGCCGCCCUAGUUAACUUGCAACUACCCCCGUGUGUCAACACGUCCUCUGCAUUGCGCAAGGUUUGUUUGGCUCCUGCCCCCGGACAAAACGUUGGGAAAGUAAAGAGGGAAAAACACGUUUGCCGGUUGCGAGCAGCGCGCUGGCUUCGAGACCCAAGGAUUGGGAAACUGCGUCACUGUUUCCUCCUCCCGCCCGGCGGGAUGGGUUAACGGCUGGGCCACAUUCGUUGCCAGCAGAUGAAGGGAAAUGAUGCGUCCCCUCUGUUCAGCCCUGGGGAGGCCACAUCUGGAGUGUCCAGCUGUGGGCCCCGCUGCAAACGGGUGCGGACACGUUGGAGAGAGUCCAGUGGAGGGCAACGAGCGUGGUUUGGGGCUGGGGGACGGGACCGGUGAGGAGAGGCUGAGGGACUGGGCUGAUUGAGUCUGCAGAAGAGAAGACCGAGGGGGAUUGAAUAACAAGCAGCCUUCACCUCCCUGCCGGGGGGGCUGCAAAGAGGAUGGAGCUGGGCUGUUCUCGGUGAGGGCAGACGACAGGACAAGGAGCAAUGGGCUCAGGCUGCAGCAAGGGAGGUUGAGGUUGGAUAUUAGGAAACUCUUGCUCAGGAGGAGGGUGGUGAAGCGCUGGAGCAGGCUCCCCAGAGAGGUGGGGAGUCUCCAUCCUGGGAGGUUUCCAAGAUCCUGGUAAACAGAGCCUUGGCUGGGAUGAUGUAGGUGGGGCUGGUCCUGCUUCAUUGCACUAGAUGUGACCUCCUGAGUCCCUUCCAGUGGUAGUUUCCUACGGUAUCAAUUAGAAAAGGCAGGAAACCCUUCCACAGGGUUUGGGAAUGAGGCCAAAGGAUGCUCCUGGAGAAAAUAAGAGCUUGCAUCUGGGGCUGUGAGUCCUGGGGCCGUAGUCUCCGUGGGUGUAAGCUGGCGGUAGGCUCAGUGGUAACGGGGGGGCCGGGUGCUGCAAGCCGGCGGGGGCUCCAGCGCGGUGGAUUGAGCAACACUUGGUUAUCCGUAAGCACGUGGGGGUGAGAAGCUGCAGAAAACAGCAUGAAAUACCUGCAGCCCGGAUGCAAGCAGGGAUUGAAGUGCGAGAGAAGGGGAAUCGCGCCUGGUCUGAUGUCUCACUUCUGCGCUGGCUGGUUGGGGCUCCUCGGGGCCUGGGGAAGGCAGGGCUGGGCUGAAGCACAGAUUCGUAGCUGUUCGGGCUGGAAGAUCGCGGGUCCAGCCCCUCGCACUUGGGCAGGACAGGCUGCCGGGCUCAGAUGACCCCCUGCCCUUUCCUUCUCCAGGGCCCUGCCUGGGGUGCGGGGCUUGCUCCGGCUUCGGUGGCAGCUGCAAGGGCGACGUGGAGCCCCGCUGCGGGGGGACGGACUCCUGCACGAUCCUCGUCGCCGGAGAGGUCUCGCUUCCCUGCUCUGGGGGCGUGGGGGUUCGGGACGCCUGCCCUUCCUGUGCUUCCUCCCGGGGCCCGCGACGGGCACCGCCCCGAAUGGCCGGCACGGCCCCGCCUGCCGGGCCCUUUUCGGGGGCGCUUGCCGCGAAGACGCCGUGGACUGCGCUGGACCUCAGACCCAGUGCAUCACGUUAGCCGGACCUUAAACGGUAGAUGCAGUUCCUGGGUCCUGCUGGGACGUUCCCGUCUGGUUGCUGCCCCUCAGGCGGGGAGGGUGGUGAGGACUCCUGGCUCUGAGGCCGGGGGCCACCGGCUCUCGUGUGGUCUGGGGGAGAUCUUCCCUUCGUGGUGCGCCAGCGGCCCCCCGCGCUCUCACGGCCGGAGCGCCACAGAUCUUCGCUCCCACCCAGGCAAAGGUUAUUGUGCUCGCUGAAUGGACGAGCCCCCCGGGCUGGCGCUUCCAAGGGAGUUUGGCAGCUGCGUGCCUGGCUCCCGUGACCCUCACGGGCUCUAUUUUUAGGCUUCUUUGAAAAAAAAAUUCAACCUGCAUCAGUCAUUUGAGCUGCAUGAGGAACAGAGCCAGGAGCUGAGCCCAGCUCGUCCGAGUCCCAGCCCAGCGCUUGCAUUUAGCGCCCAGCACCCUUCUGAGAUCCCACUUCUGCCACCACGGGGAGCUGCACCUUCGCCCGUGAGACUGAGCUAGGCCCGAGAGAAAGCUUCUCCGGACCCCGGCUCCAGCCCAGCACCACUGCACUGACCACAGCCCAUGGGAGGCCGAGCUGCCCCGCAGGAAGGCGCAGGCCACAGGGCUGUGGUCAGUGCAGCUUGGCCUCCCGCGGGCGCUCGCCUUCUGCACGCAGGCGCUUCCUCGACAGACUGGGAGCCGGCUGGUGGAUCGUGACGGGGAACGUUUGAGCGGGCGUCGAGAAGCCCCAGAGGAGCCCGCAGCUGGCACGAGGAUGAUGAUGGCAGCCAUGUCCUGCUUCGGUCGCCGGCGGCCCGCCCUGCAGGAGGAGACUCCAAAUCCCUGGCCCCUUUGGAAGCUGCGGGCCAAAAUGUGGGAGGGGGUUUCUGUGGGACUCCUCGUGUGCUUAAAUUAGACCCCCCGCUCGAGCCCCUCCUGGACGCGGCGUCUUGGCUAUCACCACAAGCUGUGUGCAGGCCUCGGGGCAUGGGGGAUAUUCCUGAAUUGCAAGAAAAAGCCUCGAUUUUUCCUGUACUUUCUUUCUAAACCAGUGGCUUUCAGGCGGUGGUCCACGGGUGCCUGGGGGUCCGCAGACGACGUCUAAGGGGUCCACAAGAGAUGCCUGCGGUCAGUCACAAAGGGCCCACAGAAGGACAAAGGUGGAAACCGCUGCUCUGAACCGAAGGCGCCGGCUGGGCCGUGGGGAGAGCUCAGGCUUUCCUGCCCUGGCGGGUACGGCCCCCGCCUGCCUCAACGAGCCGCGAGCGUCACCGCUCCCGAUCUCGCGCUCCCAAAUCCCGGGCGCCGGGAACACCGCGCUGCAUCCAGAGGUGGCAUUAAAAUAGAAAGGAAAAUGUG